GACGAACGCUGGCGGCGUGCUUAACACAUGCAAGUCGAACGAUGAAGCCUUUCGGGUGGAUUAGUGGCGAACGGGUGAGUAACACGUGGGCAAUCUGCCCUGUACUUUGGGAUAAGCCUUGGAAACGGGGUCUAAUACCGGAUAUCACUUACCUCCGCAUGGGGUUUGGUUGAAAGUACUGGCGGUACAGGAUGAGCCCGCCGGCCUAUCAGCUUGUUGGUGGGGUAGUGGCCUACCAAGGCGACGACGGGUAGCCGGCCUGAGAGGGUGGACCGGCCACACUGGGACGUGAGACACGGCCC
rnacentral:rRNA from 1 species